UGGAGUGUAGCUCAGUGAUAGAGGACUUGUCUGUUGUGCAUGAGGCCCUGGGUUUGAUUCCCAGCACCAU
rfam:Ictidomys tridecemlineatus contig110680, whole genome shotgun sequence.